rnacentral:rRNA from 1 species
AUUGAACGCUGGCGGCAUGCCUAACACAUGCAAGUCGAGCGGAUGAAGGGAGCUUGCUCCUGGAUUCAGCGGCGGACGGGUGAGUAAUGCCUAGGAAUCUGCCUGGUAGUGGGGGAUAACGUCCGGAAACGGGCGCUAAUACCGCAUACGUCCUGAGGGAGAAAGUGGGGGAUCUUCGGACCUCACGCUAUCAGAUGAGCCUAGGUCGGAUUAGCUAGUUGGUGGGGUAAAGGCCUACCAAGGCGACGAUCCGUAACUGGUCUGAGAGGAUGAUCAGUCACACUGGAACUGAGACACGGUCCAGACUCCUACGGGAGGCAGCAGUGGGGAAUCUUGCACAAUGGGCGAAAGCCUGACCCAGCCAUGCCGCGUGUGUGAAGAAGGUCUUCGGAUUGUAAAGCACUUUAAGUUGGGAGGAAGGGCAGUAAGUUAAUACCUUGCUGUUUUGACGUUACCAAAAGAAUAAGCACCGGCUAACUUCGUG